UGGGGAAUAUUGCACAAUGGGGGGAACCCUGAUGCAGCGACGCCGCGUGAGUGAAGGAGUAUUUCGGUAUGUAAAGCUCUAACAGCAGGAACGAAAGAAGACGGUACCUGAUUAAGAAGCCCCGGCUAACUACGUACCAGCAGCCGCGGUAAUACGUAGGGGGCAAGCGUUAUCCGGAAUCACUGGGUGUAAAGGGAGCGUAGACGGCAGGGCAAGCCUGGAGUGAAAGGCGGGGGCCCAACCCCCGGACUGCUCUGGGAACUGCCUAGCUUGAGUGCAGGAGAGGUAAGUGGAAUUCCUAGUGUAGCGGUGAAAUGCGUAGAUAUUAGGAGGAACACCAGUGGCGAAGGCGGCUUACUGGACUGUAACUGACGUUGAGGCUCGAAAGCGUGGGGAGCAAACAGG
rnacentral:rRNA from 1 species